rnacentral:lncRNA from 1 species
AAGGCAGUGGCACAGAGCAGUUGAGUAAUUUGCUCAAGAUCUCAUAAACAGAAGAGCAAUAAACAGAGGGUCAUCUCUUGACUACUGCUGAUUCAGUGUUGUCACUGCUUCGGCUCAGGUUUGAUCCUAGGCCGACUGGUUUGUUGCUGUGGGCGAGGCCAAAAAAAAAAAAAGAACAUUAAAGAAAAAAAAUACACAAAUCCCAUCUAUCCGGUAACAACCAUUCUCAGCACUUUGGUGCAUUUACUUCCAAAUCUCUUCCUUGAACUUUGAUGGAAAAUCCUCUGUCCCCAUUGCUAAUUCCAAGGCUAAUUAAGCAUUAUGAACAGUUUGAUAUGCGUUCCCAGAUGUAUAUGCAAACACAUGCGGAGGUAAUCCACACACCUUUUUUAAUGUCUUACUGUAUGCAUUGUUUUGCUAGGCACUUUUUCACUCAGUAUAUGCUGGACAUAUUGCUAUAUGUGUUGUGUAUAGUCUAACACAUAUUUUAAUUGACUAAUAUGAAUUGUGCUACUUUCAGAGGAUAACUAUACUCUCUUCUAGUGUACCCCUUUCACUGAUUGACAUUUAGAUUAAUUGUCCCACUUUCCCUAUGUCAACUUUAGUAGCUGUAUAUAUUUUACUGUAUAAAAGUACUCUAAUUUUCCUCUUAUAUGAUGGAUGCAGGUUAUUUGAAGGUACUAGGAUGAACCUUCUCAAAACUGAGGAUUUGAGUACAUCUUUACUUAUUUCCCAGUCCCAACCAAAAUGCCAAGACUAAAUGAUCACCCAGUCAUUUAAAAAAAAAAAAAAAAAAAGAAAGAAAGACACUUGAUUGAGGCAUACUGUACAUAUUGUAAAAUUCACCUCUUUUAAGUGUACAGUUCAGAGAUUUUGAAUAAAUUUAGCAAGUUAAGCAGCCAGCACCAUAAACCAUUUAUAGAACAUUUUCAUAGGUCCAGUAAGAUCCUUUUUAGAGUUAAUCUUCAUUCUUAUCCCCAGUCCCAGGCCACCACUAAUCUACUUUAUGUCUCUGCGAUUGGCCUUUUCUGGACAUUUCGUAUACCCUGUCACUUUUAGGAAGUUAGUAUCUAUGAGUAAUACUUCUUUUCUUAUUCUUUUGAAUAAUUUGGCUCACAUAAAACUCCUGGCUAGAAUUGUCCAUUAUAUUAGGGCUUAGUACUGUCUUGAAUAGUAAUAAGAAUUAUUAUUACUCUUUAUUUUUGUCUCUGUUCCACAGAGCCUGCAGUUGUGAGGCUUCCUUUUGCCAUAUCAAAAGAGAACUGUUGGGGUGGCUUUCAGCUUGUUUCAUUAAUUUCUUCAUGUAUUGGGCUUGAGAGUAAUACGGAUUCUUGACUUAGUUUGAUUGAGAAUGUGUGCUGAUUUCACAGAAGACAUGCUACUCAGACAUGGCAAAAACUACCAGAACCUCACCUUUAAGAAGUGAUACCAAAAACUUCUUAGUCAUGCGAUCCCAAACCAGUUUUGAUACUAAGUGUUACCUUCAUAUUGCUUAGAAAAGUUGGGCAACCUAAUUGGGCUGAACAACUCUGUAGCGUUAAAAUAAUUAAAACAUUUUUAAAGUUAUAGUUGCUAUUGUAUUGCUUUUAUAAACUGUUUUGAAUUAAAAACUGAUAAUUGAAAAAUUUAGAAUAAUUUCAUUUCAGUACUUAGUAUUUUGAUAUCAGAUAGUUCCUGCAAAUAUUUUGGGUACCUCGUCUCUGCAUUUGUAGCACUCCCCAUACAUAUUUAUUUUUAAUUGUUAUUCAAGUGAAUAAUUACUAUUUCCCAAAGACCUUUAUUUUUUAAGAAGUUCAGGGAGAGUAGAGAAAUAACCAACAAGCAUGCCUCUUUUAUCCAUGAGAAGAAAAAAAAAAAUCCAGUGUGAUAUUAACUGUAUUUUACAAUAUUUGUUAGCACACCUGAGCACAAAGUCCAGGCGUGGAAUUAUUUCUGUGUGUAGUCUUUGGAAACAUAUCUAGUACACGGCAGAGGUACUCCUAGGAGAAGUGAAAUUAUUCAGCCUCACAGUUCCUGGAUGCCCCUCCACUUCUUGAGGCUGAUUCAUCGCCAUAGGUGAUAUCAUCCCUUCAUAGGCUCCAUAACUCAUUUGUUUUCAGUGGCUUUUUUAUGAGUCAGUGAUUAACACCUGAGGAAGAGAAGAGCUUCUUCUUUAAAGGAAAUAACAGAUUUAUCUUGAGUACCUUUGAAGCCAGAAUGGUUGCUUAGGUAACAUCUGUUCCAUUUUAUCAUCUUUGGCAAAUGGGAAAGGCAACUUUCUCAACUCGUGUUUGUCUUUCAAAGGGGAAAUCAAAGCAAUGGAGAGUAGUUGAUGCUUAUCCAGAAAAGAUAACUCCUAUGCACAGAGGCAAAGAGAUGUAGACAUCUAAAUAAACCCAGAUGCUUUGUUCUUCAGAACUUGUAGAAAUUGAUUUUCUCUUUUCAUGGAAGGGGAGCGGAUCAGAUGUGUAUAUUAUCAGAAUGUUGUUGAACAUAAACCAGCUGGAUCCCCUCUUCUCCCAUUUCUCUGGUUUGUUGUCCUGGCCGUCUCUUUUCAUUUAAGAACUAGAUGAGGCCACUCAUGCUUAAUCCUUCCUGUACUCUUCAUCUUGCUUUCUUGUACAUGUGUAUGAUUCAAGAUUCCAGAUCCUUCUCUUGAAUUGGGCAAUGACAGUAUAACUAGACACUACUCAUUACCACAUAUCCUGUCUGGUACACAUAGAGCACCCCACCCUGAGUGAACUCUCAUCUAGGUGUGCAGAGAACACAAAGGUGAUAUCUGCUGUUUGCAAAGAGUGCAAAUUUGGAUCUGUAAAUAUAGCAACCACAUCAGAGAUCUCAGAUGAUCAGAUUCACUGUGAGAGAAUGGGUUGGGAAUAUUGAUGUAAAGAAGAUAAACUGACUUUUUUGCUUUUGAUCUUACAGAACACUAAGUUUGUGUAAAUUUAACUCCACGGAUGGAGUUUAAAUCUAGUUCUUUCUAUUUUGUAACUCAUUUGCCUUUAGACUAACCCAUUCCUUGCUAUCCCUGGUUCCAAAUUAUCUCUACCCUCCAGGGUCCUUUGGUUUUGUUUUGUUUUUAACUUCCUUUUUUAUAGACUCUUAAAUGGCUACCACUUAUAGAUAGAUCUUCUGAAAGGCAAACAUCCUCCAGGAAAAGGAAUCACCUUUGUAGUGUCUUGACCUUUGCCUUGUUCUCUUCAACUCCUUGCAGAGCAUACUUGGACUUGAGAUAAAGGGGCUGUAAAUGUGAAGAAGACCUCUGUGGAGCCUAGGGAAGUGAACACUCCUGAGGAUAUGAAGCCCAAAAGGAGGUUGAGAUUUCAGUCAUGCAAAUUGUCUCUUUCAUUUUUUUGCUCAAGUUUUUUAUCAAGGAAAGAAGAAAAUAGAGUAGGAGAGUCCGGAUCUUGGUUUGGUUCCUUAGAGGAAGUUUUGUUGAGUACAGUUAGGGCUCAUAGUUGAAUGAGUAAUCUUUCAAAAGGAGAAAUAAUGAAAAAUGAUACAUGCCCCCCCAUAAACAUUUUUUCAACUUAGAAAUAUCAAUGUCUAGAAUUGAUUAGUUUUCCAGGUAGUUGUCAAGAGUGUUUUUUUGGAUGUGGGUCCUCUGUUUUGAGUUUCAUGUUGUCUGUCCCUCACAAACCAUAGUCAUGAUGUACCGUUGGCAAUGUCUAGUCCUUUAUUUCUUUUAAGCCAGAACAUCCAAGCUUUUAAAGCAGCUCAGUACUGAAUGCAUCUAGGCUUUUUUCACAUUUUUCCCUUAGAAUAUUAACAUUAUCUUGAAUAUACCUAAUUUUCAGCAAUCAAUUUUAGCUAUUUUCUUUUGUCACGUAUUUCUAAAGCAUUCAAUUUAGUUUUAUGGAAACAAUGGCUCAUUUUUUUCCAGCCACAAAUUUCAUUUAUUACUUAAUAUUUUGUUACAUUACAUAAUAGAAACAAGUACAACCUGCACAAACAGGUUUAGAAGCAAAUGUAACUUAAGUCUUGGUAAGCACUGCACAUCGACCAGUGGGAACAGAGUUGUCUUAGCCAAUACCAGUGAUGGUGAGUUACUUAGCCAUCUGCAUGCUUUACUGUGUUGUGAGAGAGGGAUUAAUCUAGUCUAAGAUCGGUUAAGGGAUCCAGGGGACCCCACCAACUCAUUUAACUUGCUUUUUACUAUGAAUUGUAUCUCCAGUUGUAAACAUUCCGUACACUAUUCAUAGCAGUAACCCAUGAAAGUGGAUUUGGGUAUCUAAUCACAAAAAAAAUAGCCAUGUGGCUGGAGCAGGCAGGACAUGGGUUUCACCACACCUCAAGGCUUCACAUCUCUAGAUAUCUCUUGAUAUUGAUGGAUUUAAGGAAUAAGCUCAUUGUUAGAGGGGAGCCAAAACACCCAGCUCAGUGAAGUGCUUCUGCCAAACUCUUCCUGUUAUGUAAAAGCUAAAAUGAGUCCAUGUAGAUUACAGUAUUAUUCUCUGCAUGAUCAUUAGUUAAAAAGUAUAAUUAGUUCAUAUGGUGACUUGUUAAUUUAAUUUGUUGCUUGAUUACCUGAAGAAGCAGUCAUUAACUUCAUUAUUUUUACUUUUUAGGUAGGCGCAAAAGAAUCGUUCCAAUCAUUACGUACUAACCAUUUGGUGUUGAAUGAAAAGCAAAACCCUAGGGAAAAAAAACAACUUUAGAUCCAAUAAGCCUGAACAAUGGGGUCAAACUUGUCUUGCUUUCCUGAUUCCCAAAUUAAGUUAGCUCUGACUUGAAAUGCAUGGGCAGCUCUAAGAAAAACUUCACGUUUUCUGCUGUGGCAUGUUUACUUCAAAUAAACAGAUUUUUACUUUGAUUUCCAUGGCUUAGUGCCUGGCACCAGAAUUUUCCAGACCUAUUUAAAGACCACACCCUCUGAGAAGAGUCACAUACUAUGCAAAGUUGUGGGUAACUGAGUGGCAAGAGGAGUUUCUUUGUGGCUCUUGAUCAAGUUUGGGCCCAUUCUGCCCUGUCACGUGUCUCAAAAUGUGGUACAGAACGCAUCUGAAGCGCCAGGGGAAAACCAGUGUUAUGCCAUCAUCCUUGUUACCGUCUCUGACUCUCGUCUUUGUUGAAUUAGGCAUUCCUGCGGCUGGCGGUGAACAUUUUGAUUUGGGAUCCAUGUAACACACGCUAGACCCUUUAGAUGAUGAGCACCGACUCUGUAGGUUCAGUCUACUGUAGACUGGCUUGCGGUCUCAUUUGGCUCAGUGAUUCCUGGUAGGCACAGCAAAGUGGGAAACAUCAUAAGAUUCCCAUUAUCCGUAAGAUAAGAUCUGAUCAGCUUUUUAAAAGUCCGGAGAGGAAAGGUAUGAGGACAGAAUGUAAAUAAUUUUUCCCUUCAACCCAGAGAAUUGGCUUACGUGGCAGUUUCCCCCUGCUGUUGUGUGUCCCUAUAGAGAUAGGACACAUGACUCAGGUGGCAAAGGUCAGGAGUCUGAACAUUUGGGUAAUGAGUACCCUGCUCCGGGAAGAUGAACUGAGCACACUGUCCCCAGGACGUGUAAGAUGGGAAGAAUCGCCUUGCUCUGGGGCUUGGACCUUUAUCAGCUCACCUGCAAGACCUUUUUAAGCUGUACUGUUCAGCCAGUGCUUUUGUUUCCUGCAUCUUAGAUGUCCAU